UACGGAGGAUGCAAGCGUUAUCCGGAAUGAUUGGGCGUAAAGCGUCCGCAGGCGGCUAUGUAAGUCUGCUGUUAAAGAGUCUGGCUCAACCAGAUAAAGGCAGUGGAAACUACAUGGCUAGAGUGCGUUAGGGGCAGAGGGAAUUCCUGGUGUAGCGGUGAAAUGCGUAGAGAUCAGGAAGAACACCGGUGGCGAAAGCGCUCUGCUAGGCCGCAACUGACACUGAGGGACGAAAGCUAGGGGAGCGAAUGGG
rnacentral:rRNA from 1 species